GGAUUUAGUAAGCAGGAGCAUUGCUGAUCUGCCUUGUUGUCUUGCCCCAGAUGAAUAAACUCAAGAGGCAAGGAGUGACGCCCAACUUCAGCCACAGGAAGGUGUUCCUCAGCCACAUGGUACAGUCACUCGGGAAGAGUAACCCAAGGCCACAUAGACAGGAGAAUCCUGUUCAGGAUCAACAUUUUUU
rnacentral:lncRNA from 1 species